rnacentral:lncRNA from 10 species
UUAUUGUGCUUUACCCUUUAUUCCUGAAAUAUAAUUUCACAGGCAAUAGAAUUCUGGGUUGACUAUUUUUUUUUUCUUUCAGCACUUGAAAAUAUUGGCUAUUUCCUUCUGACCCCCAUGGUUUCUUUUAAAAAAUUUGCUGUUGUUUGAAUUAUUUUUCUCUACAGGUAUUGACUGCUGCCUCAUGAAGGCUGGUCCUGUCUCUAUAGUGAAUAUUGUGCACCUCAGGGUAGAAUGGAGAGCAGAAGACUUCAAAUCAGGCAGUCUGGGUUCAGACCCCAAUUCUAGUGCUAAAUAGCUACGUGACUUUAGGCCGAUUGUGUGUGACUUCCCUGAGCCCCAGUCUCUUUGCCUGCAAAAUGAGAAAAAUUAUAACAAUGUCAUCGGUUGUUCUGAGGAUUCUGAGAGGAAUUAGUAGGAGAGAGAACUAAGAAGCUGCGGGCCUCUACAGAGCCAUUCAACUGGCAUUUCGGAAGAUGUUGCCCAUCAGAGUCAGACCUUCUUAGCAUCUUCCGGCUGGGCCCAAACUUCCCAAGACCAUUUGGACAAGGUCAUCUCUAUCCCACCAUGGCCUCCUCCCAGAGGAGGAGAAGAAUCAUGCUGUUACAGCAGAACCGAAGAUUUGGGCAAGGGAGCUAAUGAUUAUGUUCUGCGUCAGGUCAGAGAUGGGCUGGGAAAGCCACUCCAAAGCCAAGACAAGCAGUUUCCUGGAAAAAGAAGGCUGCGCGGAGCCCAGAGUGGCCUGGAUCCUGCCUCAUUUCCUGGA